rnacentral:rRNA from 1 species
UUAGAGUUUGAUCCUGGCUCAGAUUGAACGCUGGCGGCAUGCUUUACACAUGCAAGUCGAACGGUAACGCGGGGGCAACCCUGGCGACGAGUGGCGAACGGGUGAGUAAUACAUCGGAACAUGUCCUGGAGUGGGGGAUAGCUCGGCGAAAGCCGGAUUAAUACCGCAUACGCUCCGAGGAGGAAAGCGGGGGACCUGGUAACGGGCCUCGCGCUGCGGGAGUGGCCGAUGUCGGAUUAGCUAGUUGGUGAGGUAAAGGCUCACCAAGGCGACGAUCCGUAGCUGGUCUGAGAGGAUGAUCAGCCACACUGGGACUGAGACACAGCCCAGACUCCUACGGGAGGCAGCAGUGGGGAAUUUUGGACAAUGGGGGCAACCCUGAUCCAGCCAUGCCGCGUGAGUGAAGAAGGCCUUCGGGUUGUAAAGCUCUUUCGGACGGAACGAAAUGGUUACGGUGAAUAACCGUGACUGAUGACGGUACAGUAAGAAGAAGCACCGGCUAACUACGUGCCAGCAGCCGCGGUAAUACGUAGGGUGCGAGCGUUAAUCGGAAUUACUGGGCGUAAAGCGUGCGCAGGCGGUUCGCCAAGUCAGGUGUGAAAUCCCCGGGCUUAACCUGGGAAUUGCGCUUGAAACUAGCGGGCUUGAGUGCGGCAGAGGGGGGUGGAAUUCCACGUGUAGCAGUGAAAUGCGUAGAGAUGUGGAGGAACACCGAUGGCGAAGGCAGCCCCCUGGGUCGACACUGACGCUCAUGCACGAAAGCGUGGGGAGCAAACAGGAUUAGAUACCCUGGUAGUGCACGCCCUAAACGAUGUCGACUAGGUGUUGGGGAAGGAGACUUCCUUAGUACCGCAGCUAACGCGUGAAGUCGACCGCCUGGGGAGUACGGUCGCGAGAUUAAAACUCAAAGGAAUUGACGGGGACCCGCACAAGCGGUGGAUGAUGUGGAUUAAUUCGAUGCAACGCGAAAAACCUUACCUACCCUUGACAUGCCAGGAAGUUGGCCGAGAGGUCGAUGUGCCCGAAAGGGAACCUGGACACAGGUGCUGCAUGGCUGUCGUCAGCUCGUGUCGUGAGAUGUUGGGUUAAGUCCCGCAACGAGCGCAACCCUUGUCAUUAGUUGCUACAUUUAGUUGGGCACUCUAAUGAGACUGCCGGUGACAAACCGGAGGAAGGUGGGGAUGACGUCAAGUCCUCAUGGCCCUUAUGGGUAGGGCCUCACACGUCAUACAAUGGCGCAUACAGAGGGUUGCCAACCCGCGAGGGGGAGCCAAUCCCAGAAAGUGCGUCGUAGUCCGGAUCGGAGUCUGCAACUCGACUCCGUGAAGUCGGAAUCGCUAGUAAUCGCGGAUCAGCAUGUCGCGGUGAAUACGUUCCCGGGUCUUGUACACACCGCCCGUCACACCAUGGGAGUGGGUUCCACCAGAAGCCGGUCGCUUAACCGCAAGGAUGGCGCCGACCACGGUGAGAUUCAUGACUGGGGUGAAGUCGUAACAAGGUAGCCGUA